CUGAGAUCAACUGGUAAACAGUAUGACUAUGAGUCAAUCAUUUUACCCCAUAAAUAGUAAACAGCCCAAGAGCCUUUUGAGCUUUCCUGCAUAGGAGUGGGCUGUGUGACAGGACCUCCCCUUGAGUAGGAACACCUCUCAAGCAAGCUGAGACUUGCUUGCUGUGACUGAUCCUUGACAUGGCAACAUUACACUUCUGGAGCAUCACUAAAACCAAGUACAACAUCCCUGAAAAGUGAAACAUGGUCAGGAAGGAGCAACUGUCAGUUAACUUCAGGACAAAAGGAUUACACCAUGAAUCCAUGCAAGACUUAGCCAAGGCAAUUACAGGCAUCACUAACAAGAUCUGAACAGCCUCUGACACACAGAUCAAUUUAGAAAUAGAAUGCUAAGGUAACAUCCUGCCCCCAUCCACACAAAUAAAACCACCACACCUGCCCA
rnacentral:lncRNA from 1 species